rnacentral:rRNA from 1 species
UACGAAGGGAGCUAGCGUUGUUCGGAAUCACUGGGCGUAAAGGGUGCGCAGGUGGUCGGGUAAGUCUGACGUGAAAUCCCGCAGCUUAACUGCGGAAUGGCAUUGGAUACUAUUCGGCUAGAGGGUUGGAGGGGGACGUGGAAUUCUCGGUGUAGCAGUGAAAUGCGUAGAUAUCGAGAGGAACACCAGUGGCGAAGGCGAGUCCCUGGACAACUCCUGACGCUGAGGCACGAAAGCUAGGGGAGCAAACAGG